GACGUAGGGCGCGAGCGUUGUCCGGAUUUAUUGGGCGUAAAGAGCUCGUAGGCGGCUCGUUGCGUCGGCUGUGAAAACCCACGGCUUAACCGUGGGCCUGCAGCCGAUACGGGCGAGCUAGAGUUCGGUAGGGGAGACUGGAAUUCCUGGUGUAGCGGUGAAAUGCGCAGAUAUCAGGAGGAACACCGGUGGCGAAGGCGGGUCUCUGGGCCGAAACUGACGCUGAGGAGCGAAAGCUAGGGGAGCAAACGGG
rnacentral:rRNA from 1 species